GGCGGCGGCCGCUGGCGCUCAAGCAUGGCGGCGGCAGCAUUGGGCAGCUCCUCAGGCUCGGCGUCCCCGGCCGUGGCUGAGCUCUGCCAGAACACCCCGGAGACCUUUUUGGAGGCCUCCAAGCUGCUGCUCACCUAUGCUGACAACAUCCUCAGGUGCAGGGCAACGGGGUCGGACGGCGGGUACCGGGGUGGGUGGGCCGCGGCGCCUUGUUCGGCCAGGGACUGGGUGUCCGGCCUGAGCUUCAGAGGGCAGCGACGCCCGGACAGACCGGGACCUGGAGCUGGUUCUGCUCCUAACGUCCGAGCCCGCCGGCCAGGGGCCUCGGGACCCGGCCAAGUCCCACCCCCGCUCGAGAAAAGGAAGUUUCUUUGCAGUAGUGACUUGGCACCUGCAGUCAGGGUGCUGCGGGUGAACUGGAGUCCCGGAAGCGGGGCCGGGCGGAGGAGAGGUAGGAAGGCGUGCUUCAGACAUUGCCGCUCUUCUCGUCGUUUAGCGGCCUCAGAUAUCAGGACACAACGAAACCCUAAUGAUGAAAAAUAUAGAUCCAUCCGGAUUGGAAACACAGC
rnacentral:sRNA from 1 species